rnacentral:rRNA from 1 species
UACGGAGGGUCCAAGCGUUAUCCGGAUUUAUUGGGUUUAAAGGGUACGUAGGCGGAAAAUUAAGUCAGUAGUGAAAGCCUCCCGCUUAACGGGAGAACUGCUAUUGAUACUGGUUUUCUUGAAUAUAGUUGAAGUAGGCGGAAUACGACAUGUAGCGGUGAAAUGCAUAGAUAUGUCGUGGAACACCGAUUGCGAAGGCAGCUUACUAAGCUAUUAUUGACGCUGAUGUACGAAAGCGUGGGGAGCGAAC